rnacentral:sRNA from 1 species
UUUUGUGAAUACUUCCUAGUCUCCUAACUCACUGCAGCCUGGACAAGAUUCCAUCGCCUCUGUCUAUGCAUGCUCCUCGGCUUCAGAAGCUCACUGAAGAGCCAGCAACCCAAGGUCCCUAAAGUCCUGCUCCAACCUGGAACCUCCCUUGAAUGAACCAUGCUCCUACGGUCUCCCAUGAACUGAAAGCAGCGAGAGAUGGAGGCACUGGGUGAUGACAAGAAUAGAGGCCCUCUUUACAAGGUAAGAGC